AGGGGCAUAGUUCAAGGGUAGAGCAACGGUCUCCAAAACCGUUAAUGUGAGUUCGAAUCUUACUGCCCCUG
rnacentral:tRNA from 1 species